rnacentral:rRNA from 1 species
UACGUAGGGGGCGAGCGUUGUCCGGAUUUAUUGGGCGUAAAGCGUGCGUAGGCGGCUGCGCAAGUCGGGUGUGAAACCCCGGGGCUCAACCCCGGAACUGCAUCCGAUACUGCGUGGCUAGAGGUAGGUAGGGGAGAUCGGAAUUCCUGGUGUAGCGGUGAAAUGCGCAGAUAUCAGGAGGAACACCGGUGGCGAAGGCGGAUCUCUGGGCCUUACCUGACGCUCAGGCACGAAAGCUAGGGGAGCGAACAGG